AACGAACGUUAGCGGCGCGCCUAACACAUGCAAGUCGAGCGAGAAAGGGAGCAAUCCCCGGUACAGCGGCGCACGGGUGAGUAACACGUAGGUAACCAACCUCCGAGUGGUGGAUAACCUUCCGAAAGGAGGGCUAAUACAGCAUAAGCCCACGAUUCCGAGAGGAGUUGAGGGAAAAGCCGGCCAAUCCAUGGAAGCUGGCGCUUGGAGACGGGCCCGCGUCUGAUUAGCUAGUUGGUGAGGUAAAGGCUCACCAAGGCUACGAUCAGUAGCUGGUCUGAGAGGAUGACCAGCCACAUUGGGACUGAGACACGGCCCAAACUCCUACGGGAGGCAGCAGUGGGGAAUCUUGCGCAAUGGGCGAAAGCCUGACGCAGCCAUGCCGCGUGGAUGAUGAAGGUCUUAGGAUUGUAAAAUCCUUUCACCGGUGAAGAUAAUGACUGUAGC
rnacentral:rRNA from 1 species